rnacentral:sRNA from 1 species
AUAUCGCUCAUUUUAAUAUCAUCAUAUAUAAGUCAAACUCGUUUAUCAUUUGUUUGAAAACGAAAAAUAGAAAACAAAAAGAAAAAUUCUUUCUAAUGCCCUUUUCAUGAUGCCCCUUUUCAACUCUACCUUUUUGUUUUAUCCAUUUUUAUUUCUACCCUCUUUAAUUUUUUAAUGACCAUUUUACCCUUAUUUGGAAAUUGUUUUAGGUUAACAAAAUGAAAUAUUAAUAUUUUUCGCCUCAAAUAUUCCAAAACAAAAUUUCCCGCCAAAAUUUUCCCGCCAAAAACUUUCGAAAAAAUAUUUCCUGCCCAAUUUUUGUUUUCAAAAAUAUUUUUCCCGCCAAUUUUUUUUUUAGCGGGAAAUAGAUUUACAAGGAAUUUUAAAAGAGCUUUAAAAGAUUUACAAGGGAUUUAAAAGGGGUUUUAUAAGAUUUACAAGGGAUUUUAAAAGCGUGAUUUACAAGGGAUUUUAAAAGCGUGAUUUACAAGGGAUUUUAAAAGGUUUUUAAAAGAUUUACAAGGGAUUUUAAAAGGGUUUUAAAAGAUUUACAAGAGAUUUUAAAGGGAUUUAAAAGAUUUACAAAGGUCUUUUAAAGAUUUUUAAAGGAUUUAAAAUUGUUUUAAAAGGAUUUUAAAAUAUUUACAAGGGAUUUUAAAAUAGUUUUACAAUAUUUACAAGGGAUUGUAAAUUUUUAAACCCUUUUAAAAUUCCUUGUAAAUCUUUUAAAAGUCUUUUAAAAUCUCUUGUAAAUCUUUUAAAAUCUUUUUAAAAUCUCUUGUAAAUCUUUUAAAACCCUUUUAAAAUCUUUUGUAAAUCUAUUUGCCGCCAACAAAUAUUU